GUGGAUAAUGUGGAUUAAUUCGAUGCAACGCGAAAAACCUUACCUACCCUUGACAUGUCCGGAAGCCCGCUGAGAGGUGGGUGUGCCCGAAAGGGAACUGGAACACAGGUGCUGCAUGGCUGUCGUCAGCUCGUGUCGUGAGAUGUUGGGUUAAGUCCCGCAACGAGCGCAACCCUUGCCAUUAGUUGCUUCAUUCAGUUGGGCACUCUAAUGGGACUGCCGGUGACAAACCGGAGGAAGGUGGGGAUGACGUCAAGUCCUCAUGGCCCUUAUGGGUAGGGCUUCACACGUAAUACAAUGGCGCGUACAGAGGGCUGCGAAGGGGCGACCUGGAGCCAAUCCCGAAAAAGCGCGUCGUAGUCCGGAUUGCAGUCUGCAACUCGACUGCAUGAAGUCGGAAUCGCUAGUAAUCGCGGAUCAGCAUGUCGCGGUGAAUACGUUCCCGGGUCUUGUACACACCGCCCGUCACACCAUGGGAGUGGGUUUCACCAGAAGCCGGUCGCUUAACCGCAAGGAUGGCGCCGACCACGGUGAGAUUCAUGACUGGGGUG
rnacentral:rRNA from 1 species